rnacentral:lncRNA from 1 species
CCCAAUUUUUUUUCCCCCCAAAGUCCUCCUAUUAAAAGACUCUUCAGCUCAAAGAAAAAGAACAGACAUUAUUCCUACAAAAAAAUAGACUAUCAGAGACAGAAAGAAACCAGAGAGGAAAAAGAAGUCAGAAAGAAAAUCAGAGGAAAGUAAGAGAGGAUUCUAAGUAUUUUUUUUACACACAAAAUCAGAUAUUAAAAAAAACAGUCAAAGUAUAAAGAGAAAAAGAGGAGAUCUUCAAAGUCAUCAGGAGAAAAACAUCAAACAAAAGAGAUAAGAUAAGAAAGUUGGAAUUCCAUUCAAAUUUUGGGUAGCAGCAUUCAAUUUCUGUUUUAAAUCAUCAACAGGUUUUAUUUCAAUCUUGUACUUUAUUAGAAAUCAAAAUAUGAAUGAAGUUGUUUAAAUAAUUUUCAUGUAUUGUUCAACAUGACAGUUUGUUAUAGUUGUCUAUUUAUUUAUGUAAUUAUUUAAUUAGUAUUCGUUUAAAUUAUGUAUGUAAAUCAUGAAAAUUGAUAAUGUGUGAUAAAUCUGUAUAUGUGUAAACUAGUAAAAGAAUGAUUAGAAAAUUUGAGGUUUAAUUUCAUAAAAAUAGAGAAAGUUUUGAAUCGGAGAAGAAAUAUAUUUUUCACUGGAAAUUUCAUUGAAGCAAUUACCAAAUAUUCCUUUGCCAUCGUUGUUAUUGUUCCGAUGAUGAAUCUCGCCGGAAAAUGUUAGCCAUAGGCGGAGCAGUGGUUAUCACAAUAAAAAUGACCACUGGCGAGUCCCUUACAUCGCCUUCGUCACCCCGUCCCUUCUCCCCUUCUCCACGCCGGCGAACAUCACCGACGAAACCUGUACCGCCCUCUUUCUUUCCUUACCCCCACACCGACCAUCCCCAUCCUCCCCUCUCCCCCGCGCCGCCACCGCUUAGAUCUGGACGGGAUCUCACCGGCGAACCAACUUAACAAACCGACUGGCGAAGCCUGCCGCGCCGCCUACCCAUGUCGUUGACUCCUCUCUCUCCCUCCGUCGUCGAAACCUGGUGCAACAGCGCCUGUAUCACCUACCGGCGUCGCCCCUUUUCCUUUCCCCUUUCACUAUCAUCUCCAUCAUAUCGAAAAAAAAAUAAAAUCGAUGAAACCAUGGCUUCCUGCUCUUGUAUUUACUUCUAUUAGCGUAGUUCCUGUAAGAAAUAAAAAUACUGAUUUUAAAACUUUCUUAUUUAUUUGAUGUAGUACUAUAUAAUUAAUAAUAAGAAAUAUUUUAAAUAUUAACUUUUCUAGUAUACUUUUCAUCUAUUUUUAUUUUUGGUUUGCUGGUUCAUCCUAAUAAACUUUUUAUAAAUUUAAUUUCAAAGGUUUUAAGUUUGCACAUUUAUUAAUAAGAUUUAAAUAUUAUAAAUUUAUUGUACUUUCAAUUAAUGAUAAGUUAUGUCAUUUUAAUUUUAUUCCUUGAUGUUAGUAUUAUAAGAUUAACAUAAUAUGAGUAAUUUUAUAUAUUAAUUGCCUAAACAAACUUUGCUUAAUGUUAUUGUUAAAAUCAAGAAUUAUUUUUAAAUGGAUAAAUUGUUAUAAGUCUAUAAAAGAUAAAUCAAAUAUUUUAAGCUAAGAAAGUUUUAAAUAUAUUUUAAAUUUUGUCUCGAUUAAGAAUGUGACAUACACAUCUUUCUGGAACGUAUUAAAUUCAAAGAUGCAAUAAUACACCUUGACAAAAAUAUUUUUCAAUAAUUAAUUUUCAAAAUUUAAUACAAAGGUUUUAAAUAGUUUUUGUAUAAUAAAAUGAGUGAUUUUAGGCCUUAACAUAAUUUAUCAAAAUAAUUUAAGUCAACAAAAGCGACCGUGCUAGAACUACGGGACUCGAGGGGUGUCUAAUACCUUCCCUUCGGUCAAUAGAAUUUCUUACCCGAUCUUCUAUUUUCGCAGACCAAAUAAAAGAGUCAUUUUCUUUUGACUAGGAAUUCAAAAAGGUGACUUGGAACACCAUAACUCAAUUCCAAGUGGCGACUCUGUAAAAAAUUAAUUCCUAUUCAAAACUGUCACUUUAAUUGGAAAAAUCCUUCGACCUCGAUCUCCUCAAGGCGAAAAAGUGGUGUGAUAUCUCUGGCGACUCUGCUGGGGAAUAAUAAGAAUUCGAGCUUUUUAUAUUGACUUAUACUUGCUUUAAUUAUUGUUGGAUAUUGUGUUUUUUGGCCUUAUGUGCUACUUGUUGCUCAUUUACUGCUUUAAUAUUGUUGAACUAUAUUAUAAUUUGUCUUCUCUUGCGCACCCUCUCUGAGUCUCUGAAAUAGGAUAGAAGGAAUGCAGUGCAUGCAUCCUACUUUCUUUUUUAUAUAGCCGGAGUGUCAAGGCACCUGGUGAAGGAUUAUAGUCACACAUGUUAGGUAGGGUUCGGAUCGGCAACGAAGGCGGUAUUGCCCUGCUACCGACCAAGUUUUCCCUCCCCAGUUCGAUUGUCCGCUUGGGUAAGCCAGUCUAGACACCUAUCUCUAUUAGGCUUAAACUUAGAAGAACGGAAAACUCAGAAUCUGGUUAUCCCUAUUAGGUGCCGCUUUAUUCGCAUUAUAUACAUUUGACUUAGCGAAACUCGACAUAGGGGCCGGGUCUGUCUAGGACAAGUGACCUAUUUUAUAAAUACCAACAUGUGCAUCCUACGUGCUCUUUGAUAUUUGUUUGUAAGGCUGUUUGUUUGUUGAUCGGCUUUAGGCAACUUUAAAAUGUAAGAGAUUAAAUUAUCCUCACAUUUAGUGAAUUAUUUUUCAAAAAAAAAUAGUAACAUAGUUUUACGGUCUUUAUGAACUACGAGGGUCUGAUUCUCACUCUUUAGUGGGAUACGUAGGAAGUCCUUCACAGGAUACGAUCCUAUCUUUUGAAAAAUUAUUCAUAGAUUUAUUGGGGAAUAUUUUGAAAAUAUGAUUACUUUCAUAAUUAUAUUUCUCAUUCUUAGGUCCAAUUUUUAUAUAUAUCUUAAUAGCCCCGAAUCUUUAAGGAUCAAGAGGUUAAGGUUUUCCAAAAAAAAAAAAAUAUUUCAAUAGCUCGGAAUCUUUAGGGAUCAUGAGGCUAAAUUUUUACAAAAUAAAUAAAAAUAUAUAAAUCUUAACAGUCUUGAAUCUUUAGGGAUCAUGAGGCUAAAUUUUUACAAAAAUAUAUAUAUAUAAAUCUUAACAGCCCUGAACCUUUAGGGGUCUUGAGGCUGAAUUUUGUACGACAUAUACUUCAAGAACUACGCACACCUGAUUCUCAUUUUUAUGAGAUACGUAGGUAGUCCUCAAUGGAUUCGAUGAUCUUAAAAAAAUUGGAUGUCUUUCCUUCUAAAAAAAAUAUUUUCAAAAAUUAAAAAUGUUAUUCAAAAAUAAAAAAAAAUUGUUUCUCAUAUUACAAAUAAUAAUAAAAAAAAAAGUAUAUUUCUUCGUAUCUUUAAUUUUUUCGAACUACGCAAGAUCUGAUUCAUGUCCUGGCAUGAUACGUAGGCAAUCCUCUAAAGGGUUCGAUCAAAAUUUUUCAAAAAGUACGCCCAGAAAGCCGGGAUGAAACAUAAAGUCUUCCCUAAUAGGUUGAAAAAUACAUCUAGAAGCAUAACAUACAACAUGACAUUAUAAUGUGUUAAAUAUAUAUAACACUCACCCGUUUGCUACUUGGUAACAGAAAGAUAAAGUAGUUGGUGUUGGUUGGUUGUUUAAACUGGUAUCACAUCCGUACAACACCAGAUACAAGGAAAAAAGAAAAAUAACCCGCAAAGAGGGUGUAGGGUUUGACAGUAAGGAGGAGCAAAAUCAGUUGAUUUCGCCAGAAUUAGCAUCAAUGGAAGAGGUUAAGUUAUUGAAACAACAGAUGGUGGAACUGUACCAAGCUUGGUUAAAUGGACAAGACCCGUCUUCUUCAAUCCCUGUACUUGUGAAUAUGAAUGAUCCAAAUCCUGCUCAAGCUCAAACUAGCGAUCCAUUUUACCCGCCUGGAUUCGGCCCAUAUGUUAAUGUGUCUGGCGCUGCAGGUACUUCUACCAUGGGCCCACUAAAUUUGUCUGUCACAAAUAACCCAUUUUUCACUUCUGUAGCACUAGCUACUGCGGGUCUUCAUUCGACAGCACAGAAGAAUAUAGGAAAACCAAGUCAUGAGCUGUUGUAUCCUCCUGAAAUGACUUUCAAACCUUAAAAUUCACAUUAUCAUUCUAAUCAACAGGAUUCUCCUAUCGUGAUUGAAAAGAUUGUUAAGAAUGAGGAACAAGAUGAGAUGACUAGGAAAGUAAGAAGCUUGGAGCAGAGUAUGAGAAAUAUGCAAGGAUUAGGAGGACCAAAGAGUGUUUCAUACAAGGAUUUAUGUAUGUUUCCUGAUGUCCAUUUGUUGUUGGGGUUCAAAAUGCCAAAGUUUGACAAAUACGAAGGUCAUGGUGAUCCUGUAGCUCACUUGAAAAAGUUUUGCAAUCAAUUAAGGGGAGCAAAAGGAAAAGAAAAAUUACUUAUAGCUUACUUUGGAGAAAGCUUGGAAGGGGUAGUUCUGAAUGGUUUAUUGACCAAGACAUUUCCCGUUGGCACGUGUGGGAUGACAUGGCUUGGGAUUUUAUUCAACAGUCUCAAUAUAACAUUGAGAUAGUCCCAGAUCGCACCACACUGACUAAUAUGAGAAAAAAGACAACUGAAAAUUUUUGAGAAUAUGCUAUCAGAUGGAGAGAACAGGCUGCAAGAGUCAGACCAUCAAUAAAAGAGUCUAAAAUGAUUAAUAUCUUUCUGCAGGCAUAAGAACCUGAUUAUUUUCAUCAUUUGCUUUCUACUAUUGGAAACACAUUUACCGGGGUCAUUAAAAUUGGAGAGAUGGUAGAGAGUGGAAUUAAUUUCGGAAAUAUUAUCAGCUAAGUCGCUUUAAAAGCAAUAACACAAGCAAUUCAAAGUGGUUCAGGAAGCUUUGGUGGAAACAAAAGAAAAAAGGAUGUAGCAACUAUUAUACCAGGUACAUGACAAAAUUGGAGAGGUGCGCAUCACCCUUACGCACAAUCUCAGUCCCAAAUUUAUGUCCAAGACCUAUAUAACCAUCCACAACAAUAUGUUCCAUCACAAAAUCCAUUAUAUUAUAUUCUAUCUCCUCAGUAUUCUAUCUAUAAUGCACAACCAUAUGUUCGGACUCCUUCUUACCCGCAAUAGCGUGCACCAACCCCUCAAAAUCAUUCUCCAAUUCCACAAACAUACCCAAGCCCCUCCAAACUCAAUUUUCACUCUAAGCCAAACAAUGAAAAGAGCAGAAUCUAAGGGAUAGUUUCACACCAAUUGGAGAAUCAUAUAUCAAUUUAUUCCAAAAAUUGAGACAAAUUGACAUGAUCACUCAUCUUCUUAGGUAUACCCCUGACCCACAAUCAAGAAACCUUGACCCUAAUGUAUGAUGUGUAUAUCAUUCUGAUGUUCAGGUUCAUAGUACUAAAGAUUGUCGUGCUUUGCAAAGAGAAAUAGAAAGAAUGAUUCAAGAUAAAUUGAUUAUGGUGCAGGAUGUUGAUCGUGGUGGAAGUUCUAGUCAUGUUGAUAUGCAAAUCAGUGGCUAAGUUCUCAGGCUGAGCAAUUGAGAAGUCACCCCUCUCCCUUCUAGGGAGAGGUCUAAUAGUUUGUUUCAUUUUCUUUUCUAUUACCCGAAUUAUUUUAGGGUUGUAGUUUAGGACUUGUCUUGUCUGAUUUUCUUAUCGUCGUUUUUGUUCAAACUUUUCUAUCUUUCUGUCAACAAAAUAUGUGUCGCUUCUGUUUUUAUUUCUCAAUAUAUAUCAUUUUUUUACAAAGAGCUCUUUCUAUGGUGAUUCUGGUAAUAUGAUAAGCAUGUUGAAUUUUCAGCCAUAUCUUAAAACCCAAUCUAAUGCUGAAACAUUCGAUCUAGAACCUAGAGUUGAAAAAAAAUGUAAGAAAAAUAAGUAAAGUAUUGAGAUGUUUUGGAGACCUAGUUACAUCCUCACUUGAAUGUUUUGAGACAAUCACUUUGCGAAUAAAAAAUGACUUGAUCUUCAAUGAGGAGGUUCAACUCAAGCAUUUUUUUAAUGAGAUCAACCAAAGGAUAUAUAGUUUCUAUUGUCAGAAGAAGCAAAGGGAAGUUAGCUCAAAAAAAAAAGAGUCAUCUGUUGUGAGGAAAAUACAAUACAAGUAGACCUGUAUGGUUUACAAGUUUUAAAAAAAAAAGUGACACACGUGCAUGUGCUUAGUCACGGUCAAUAUUGAAAAGAUGCGUAUGAUUUUCAUGUUCUAUUCCUAGAUUGCAUGUUAUGUACUUGCAUUUUUAAGGAUUGAUAUGACGAAGGCAUUUCAUUCUGCUAUCCAAAUGUUGUGCCAUCCUUUGUUAUCCUUUUUGAGCCUUUGUUUAUUUCUUUUAUAUCCCUCUUUUGAAAUCAAAAUAGAGUCUGCAAAAAAAAAGUGUCAAGAAAAAAAAUAGAGUCGGAAAAGUAUCAAGAAAAAAAAUAGAGUCAGAAAAGUAUCAAGAAAAAAUAAAGUCGAGAAAAAUAUCUCUCUCGCAAAAAAAAAAAAAGGAGAGAAAAGUCAAGAAAAAAAAUCAAGCAGAAGAACAAGAUUUCUGAACUACGUUUGACCUGAUUCUUGCUACAACAAGAUACGUAAGCAACCCUACUCUGGGGUUCAGUCCAACCAAAAGAAAAUUCAAAUUACCCAGAAUUAAAUGAAAUUGGGGCAAAGUUUAUUUCUUUAAAAGAGUCGAUUCCAAAUGUUGUAUGUUUCACUCAAUAUAAUGUAAAGUUUUUAGCCUCAUGCCUCCCUUUCUUUCUAACCUUUUCCAAAAGUCAAGUUAUAAUCAAAGAAAGACCUUCAAAUCGAUCUUUGAGAAUGUCAAGGCUAAACAUGUUAUGGGUGCAUGAUAUUUCGUAUGUUGGACAUUAUUUUUCAAAAAAAAAAAAAAGAGUAAAAAUGAGAGAGUCUUAUUGGUGAAAACCCUUUUGGGCACCAUAAAGCGACCGUGAUCUGAGAAAGAAAUGAAAAUGAGAUAGCCGUUGGCAAAAACCCAUUGAGGUGCCACUAGCCAAAGAAGGAUUGUGAUCUACAGAAAGCAUAUUUAAGAUUGAUUCUGUUUCAAACUCAAUAAGUGGACAAGAGUUGUAAUAAUUAGUGUGGGUAGAUCAGGUUGUUUAAAUUCAAAAUGCAUGUCAUGGUUGCUGGAAUCGGCUACCACACCCAAAUAAGUUUUUUUCUAUCGUUUCAAAAAAAAAUGCCUAUUGUUUUUUCCCUUUUCUUUUUAUUUUUAAAUUUUUUAUUUUUUUUGGUAUCUUUGUCAUCAAAUAAAAAUUAUUGUCAUUUUUCUCGUGUCUUUGAGUCGAGUCCGUGUCAUAACAAGUGAGAAAAGAUUUCAAAACUGGCUACCAGCUUCUUCAAUUGCACAAAGCAAGACAAAAAGCCAACACGUGAAAGAGACAUAAUUGUGAGCCGAAAUAAGGUAUGCAGAAAAGUUUUGUCAACAGAAGAGUCUGGGAACUCAUCAAAACACCAAAGUUUAAAGGGUUUAUUUGAGGAGUAUGGCAAAACAAAGAUACUGUGUUUGUUUUAGAGUCACUUCUAAUAAUCUGAGUUUGGGUCAACGAUACAGCAAGUCGUGACAGAUGUUAAUGGUUGGAAGCAAGAUUAAAUGUGACGAGGGCAAGAGUGAUAGCCACGGAAGCUAAAGCCACAAACCUGCCAACAUGUUUUUGAACUCACAAGUUUCCUUUGAUGAAACAGAAAACAGAGCAUAAAUAUCAAGGGUUGCAAUGCAUCAUUUCCACAAAUGCAGGAAGCAAUAUUGCUACACAGGUUUGAUAAUCAAAUUAUGAUAAAAAUUAAUCAUCUUAUAUCUCUCAGAGGCAUACUUCUUUGUCCAGGUAUUUCAGUUUUCAAUUGCUAGGUGACUUACUUCUUAAAUUGAACCUUCACUCCUUGGAGACGCACUUCCUAGUCAGGGUAUGCCAUUUUUCAAGUGUUAAGUAACGUACUUCAUAGCCUAAAUCAUUCACUCCUAGAAGACGCACUUUCUAGUAGAGUGAUUUCAUUUAAUUACUAGGAGACAUACUUCCUAGUCAAGGUAUAUCAGUUUUCAUUUGUUAGGUGACGCACUUUCUAACUUGAACCAUUACUCCUAGAAGAAGCACUUUUCUAGUCGAGUCAUUUCAUUUAAUUCCUAGGAGACGCACUUCCUAGUCAGGGUAUGUCAGUUUUAUAUGUUAGGUAACGCACUUUCUAACUUGAACAUUCACUCCUAGAAGACGCACUUUCUAGUGGUGUCAUUGCAUUUAACCCCUAGGAGACGCACUUCCUAGUCUGGAUAAUACAAGUUUCAUUUGUUAGGUGAUGCACUUCCUAACUUGAACCAUCACUCCUAGAAGAUGCACUUUUUAGUUGAGUCAUUUCAUUCAACCCCUUGGAGACGCACUUCCUAAUCUGAAUAAUUCAAUUUUCAUUUGUUAAGUGAAACACUUCCUAACUUGAACAUUCACUCCUAGAAGACGCACUUUCUAGUCUCGUCCUUCAAUUUAACUUUUAGGAGACACACUUCCUAAUUUUGGGCAUCAGUUUUACUCUGACGAGAUGCAUUUGUUUAGCAGGGCUUUUUCACACUUUUUCUGUACUUUUCAAAAAUUGUAAUCUGAUGAUGCUCACAAAAUUUUCUAGUACAAACUGAGGCAAAAAAAAUUGUGUUUAUUGAAUUUUACUUUCUAAUCAGGACCUUUCUGAAGAAUGAGACAGGACUCUCCCGAAGAAUGGGAAUUUAUUUUAUGUUCAGGAUCCUCCUGAAUAAUGGGAUGUUAUUUUUCUGUUUGACCUUUUAUUUUGAGUUCAGGAACAUGUUUGGAAAAUCAAAAAAAGUAAGUCUAGGAUCCCACCUGAAGAUCAGGGUGAAGAAAAAAGAAAGCUCAGGAGCCAGCCUGAAGAACAGGGUGAAGAAAAAAGAAAGUCCAGGAGCCCGCCUAAAGAUCAGAGUGAAGAAAUUGUAAGUCCAGGAGCCAACCUGAAGAACAGGGUGAAGAAAAAAGAAGUCGAGGAGCCCUCUUAAAGAACAGGGUGAAGAAAAAAGGAAGUCCAGAAGCCCGCCUAAAGAACAGGUUGAAGAAAUUGUAAGUCCAGUAGUCCGCCUAAAGAACAGAGUGAAGAAAAAGAAAGUCCAGAAGCCCACCUAAAGAACAGGGUAAAGAAAAUCAAGUUCAGAAGUCCUCCUGAAGAAUAGGGAGAAAGAAAAGCAAGCUAGGAGCCCGCCUGAAGAAUAGGAUAAAUUUUCAAGUUCAAGUCACGAAGAUUAGAAUCAAGAUCCUAGAGAUUGCAAUUUUCACUUGUAUUUUUCAUUUUUGAUUUUUGUUAGUCAUUUGAAUGUAAAAAAGCAGAAGUCGUUAACCGGAA